GUGCCAGCAGCCGCGGUAAUACCGGCAGCCCGAGUGAUGACCGAUCUUAUUGGGCCUAAAGCGUCCGUAGCUGGCUACGCAAGUCCGUCGGGAAAUCCAUCAGCCCAACUGAUGGGCGUCCGGCGGAAACUGCACAGCUUGGGACCGGAAGGCUCGAAGGGUACGUUCGGGGUAGGAGUGAAAUCCCAUAAUCCCGCACGGACCACCGAUGGCGAAAGCACUUCGAGAAAACGGAUCCGACAGUGAGGGACGAAAGCCAGGGUCUCCAACCGGAUUAGAAACCCCGGUAGUCC
rnacentral:rRNA from 1 species